rnacentral:rRNA from 1 species
AGAGUUUGAUCCUGGCUCAGAUUGAACGCUGGCGGAAUGCUUUACACAUGCAAGUCGAACGGCAGCACGGGUGCUUGCACCUGGUGGCAAGUGGCGAACGGGUGAGUAAUGCACCGGAACGUAUCCAAUAAUGGGGGAUAACGCACCGAAAGGUGUGCUAAUACCGCAUACGCCCUGAGGGGGAAAGCGGGGGAUCGUAAGACCUCGCGUUAAUGGAGCGGCCGAUGCCGGAUUAGCUAGUUGGUGGGGUAAAGGCUCACCAAGGCGACGAUCCGUAGCUGGUCUGAGAGGACGACCAGCCACACUGGAACUGAGACACGGUCCAGACUCCUACGGGAGGCAGCAGUGGGGAAUUUUGGACAAUGGGCGAAAGCCUGAUCCAGCCAUUCCGCGUGAGUGAAGAAGGCCUUCGGGUUGUAAAGCUCUUUCGCAAGGAAAGAAAACUUAUCUCCUAAUACGAGGUGAGGUUGACGGUACCUUGAUAAGAAGCACCGGCUAACUACGUGCCAGCAGCCGCGGUAAUACGUAGGGUGCAAGCGUUAAUCGGAAUUACUGGGCGUAAAGCGUGCGCAGGCGGUUUUGUAAGUCAGAUGUGAAAUCCCCGGGCUCAACCUGGGAACUGCGUUUGAAACUACAAGGCUAGAGUGUAGAAGAGGGGGGUAGAAUUCCACGUGUAGCAGUGAAAUGCGUAGAGAUGUGGAGGAAUACCGAUGGCGAAGGCAGCCCCCUGGGCUAACACUGACGCUCAUGCACGAAAGCGUGGGGAGCAAACAGGAUUAGAUACCCUGGUAGUCCACGCGGUAAACGGUGAACACUAGGUGUGGGAGGUGUAAUACCUUCUGUGCCGAAGCUAACGCGUUAAGUGUUCCGCCUGGGAAGUACGGCCGCAAGGUUGAAACUCAAAGGAAUUGACGGGGGCCCGCACAAGCGGUGGAGCAUGUGGUUUAAUUCGACGCAACGCGAAAACCUUACUGGGCUGACAUGCCGAGAAUCGGUGGAAACAUUGGAGUGCCCGUAAGGGGAGCUUGACACAGUGCUGCAUGCUGUCGUCAGCUCGUGCGUGAGGGUGUUGGUUAGUCCCGCACGAGCGCCAACCCUCAUCCUAGGUGCAUCAUAGUGGGCACCUAAGAAACUGCCGCAGUAUGCGGAGAGUGGGAUGACGUUCAGUCUUCAUGCUUUAUAGCCAGCUACACUGACUCAAUGACGUCAGGCUGGAACGUAGGGCAGCCAUUCCCAAGAGCGU